GAUGAACGCUGGCGGCGUGCUUAACACAUGCAAGUCGAACGAAGUACUUUAUUUGAUUUCCUUCGGGACUGAUUAUUUUGUGACUGAGUGGCGGACGGGUGAGUAACGCGUGGGUAACCUGCCUUGUACAGGGGGAUAACAGUUGGAAACGGCUGCUAAUACCGCAUAAGCGCACGGCAUCGCAUGAUGCAGUGUGAAAAACUCCGGUGGUAUAAGAUGGACCCGCGUUGGAUUAGCUAGUUGGUGAGGUAACGGCCCACCAAGGCGACGAUCCAUAGCCGACCUGAGAGGGUGACCGGCCACAUUGGGACUGAGACACGGCCCAAACUCCUACGGGAGGCAGCAGUGGGGAAUAUUGCACAAUGGGCGAAAGCCUGAUGCAGCGACGCCGCGUGAGCGAAGAAGUAUUUCGGUAUGUAAAGCUCUAUCAGCAGGGAAGAUAAUGACGGUACCUGACUAAGAAGCACCGGCUAAAUACGUG
rnacentral:rRNA from 1 species